UCGACAUGGCUAGCGACUGAGACGAGUAUUGGCAAAGUGAAUCGCGAGAGUCCGACACAUCAAAAAUUCACUUUGACUAACGUCGCGUAUGCGUGAAAUCGGCAACGUUUGGGAGAAUAAUUUGUGAAACGAUCGGAUUGUCGAGAAGAGAGAGUAGACCGCGAUCGACAUCAAGAAACGAACAAGGAGUCGUAGAUAGAAUAUGUCCUCCACUUGUCGAACAAUGGCGUACCCUUUCCAUUCACAAAAAAGCUACAUCAUGACGUGGCAGUCUCCGUUUUGCGUUAUUAGCGUUAUUCCGAGAGGGUCUGCUUUCGUACAAUGGUCCUCCGCAAGGACCGUGAAGAACAUGAGCGAUGAAAAUACGGGACAGAAACGGAUCUAUGUGGAACUUACGAAACUCGAGUUUCAUCUAUCAAAUUCAGCAUUCGAAAGUUGGCAGCUCUGAGAAUUGAGGAGAUACGAUUGCGACUUUUUGAAAGAAACUCAGAGAGCUCAUGUCUUGUUUCCUGAGAUCGUUAGAGAUUGAAUGCAACGUUGGAGGAACGUUUAAUUAACCAGUGCUUUAAUCCAGUGCUCGCUUCGUUAGCUUGGCGAAUUGUCAUUGUCGGUUUGAGGGAGAGGACCCAAGUUUUUUCGUCUUGCUUCUCUCGGUGUGCAGAAUUUCGCGUCGUUGCCGACCAAUUUCUCGUUUCCCCAAGACGUCUACUCGAUGGUAAGAAAACGCGUCGAGUAUUACACACGCGAUGGUGUGCCGCAUAUAUGUACAAUAUAUUCUGGGGAUAUGUAUACAUGCGCGCGACUUGGUACCUGAAAGCACAUUCAUGAACUCGAAUGAGCCUGCGAGCGAAAACGUCGAGCUUGUUUAUCCGACGCGAUAUAAAAGCGUACGCGAGGUACCAAACGGCGUCGGUAGUUGUAAACUUCGUAACUACGUGGCUCCCGUAGCAGCCACGGUGGCAGCGGCUCGAUUAUUUAUGUGGAGUGAGGGCUCGUUUGCUCGGCGAAAGAAAGCUUUAAACGCGGCAACACAGUUCGGAAAGUUAAUAACUUCGCAGUGGAAACAGCCGCGCGACUGCACGACCGAGAUGUAUAUUUUAUUUAAAAUUUAAAGAGAACAUUUCAACAAUGAUGAAGCGAUUAUGAAAGUGUAAGAGAAAAUUGCAAGGAUCCUGAUCUUUCCUUUUCCAGAUCCUUUCUAUUAACGCGCAAUUGUAUAAAAUAUAUGUAUGUAACAGUCUAUA